rnacentral:rRNA from 1 species
UACAGAGGUCUCAAGCGUUGUUCGGAUUCAUUGGGCGUAAAGGGUGCGUAGGUGGCGAGGCAAGUCAGAUGUGAAAUCCCGGGGCUCAACCCCGGAACUGCAUUUGAAACUGCCUUGCUCGAGUACUGGAGAGGAGACUGGAAUUUACGGUGUAGCAGUGAAAUGCGUAGAUAUCGUAAGGAAGACCAGUGGCGAAGGCGGGUCUCUGGACAGUUCCUGACGCUGAGGCACGAAGGCCAGGGGAGCAAACGGG